rnacentral:rRNA from 1 species
GAUGAACGCUAGCGGCAGGCCUAAUACAUGCAAGUCGAACGAGAUUAAGAGGCUUGCUUCUUAUGAACGUGGCGCACGGGUGCGUAACGCGUAUGCAACCUACCUUAAUCAGGGGGAUAGCCCGAAGAAAUUCGGAUUAAGACCGCAUAAAAACACAGGAUAGCAUUAUCCAAUGUUCAAAUAUUUCUGGGAUUAAGAUGGGCAUGCGUGUCAUUAGCUAGUUGGCGGGGUAACGGCCCACCAAGGCGACGAUGACUAGGGGAUCUGAGAGGAUGACCCCCCACAGUGGGACCGAGACCCGGACCAGACUCCUACGGGAGGCAGCAGUAAGGAAUAUUGGUCAAUGGAGUGAACUCUGAAGCAGCCAUGCCGCGUGCAGGAAGACAGCCCUCUGGGUCGUAAACUGCUUUUAUUCGGGAAUAAACCUUUCUACGUGUAGGAAGCUGAAUGUACCGAAGGAAUAAGGAUCGGCUAACUCCGUG